rnacentral:lncRNA from 1 species
AGGUUGAGAAGUCCCCUACCGAAAGAGGUUGAGAAUUGUUUUGAUUACGCUCAUACCAGACGAGCUAUUAAGGUGGUUGUAUGUUUUGGCGCUCAUUACCAGACAGUAUAUGGGAACAGUUAUUUGAUUAUAAAAUAAAAGCUCGUGUCCAUAUAUAGUGGAGAACCUUAUGAACCUUCAGUGGCAUCGGUAGACAAACUAAAAUGAUAAAGGUUAAUUAUUGUUUGUCUUUUAGAAU